CGCGUAGGCGGUAGUGCAAGUCUGGGGUGGAAUCUUAGGGCUUAACCCUAAAACUGCCUUGGAAACUGCAUUACUUGAGUCAGUGAGGGGAGGGUAGAAUUCCUGGUGUAGCGGUGAAAUGCGUAGAUAUCAGGAGGAAGGCCUGUGGCGAAGGCGGCCCUCUGGCGCUGAACUGACACUGAGGCGCGAAAGCGUGGGUAGCAAACAGGAUUAGAUACCCUGGUAGUCCACGCCCUAAACGGUGGGUACUAGGUGUAGGGCUCGUAAGGGUUCUGUGCCGAAGGGAAACCAUUAAGUACCCCGCCUGGGGAGUACGGCCGCAAGGUUGAA
rnacentral:rRNA from 1 species